GAUGAACGCUGGCGGCGUGCCUAAUACAUGCAAGUCGAGCGAAUGGAUUAAGAGCUUGCUCUUAUGAAGUUAGCGGCGGACGGGUGAGUAACACGUGGGUAACCUGCCCUGCAGAUCGGGAUAACUCCGGGAAACCGGUGCUAAUACCGAAUAGUUUUCGCCACCUCCUGGUGGCGUACGGAAAGACGGUUUCGGCUGUCACUGCAGGAUGGGCCCGCGGCGCAUUAGCUAGUUGGUGGGGUAACGGCCCACCAAGGCAACGAUGCGUAGCCGGCCUGAGAGGGUGAUCGGCCACACUGGGACUGAGACACGGCCCAGACUCCUACGGGAGGCAGCAGUAGGGAAUCUUCCGCAAUGGACGAAAGUCUGACGGAGCAACGCCGCGUGAGUGACGAAGGUUUUCGGAUCGUAAAACUCUGUUGUGAGGGAAGAACAAGUACCAAUUAACUACUGGUACCUUGACGGUACCUCACCAGAAAGCCACGGCUAACUACGUGCCAGCAGCCGCAGUAA
rnacentral:rRNA from 1 species